rnacentral:rRNA from 1 species
UGCCGUGGGCGCUGGAGAACUGAGGGGGGCUGCUCCUAGUACGAGAGGACCGGAGUGGACGCAUCACUGGUGUUCGGGUUGUCAUGCCAAUGGCACUGCCCGGUAGCUAAAUGCGGAAGAGAUAAGUGCUGAAAGCAUCUAAGCACGAAACUUGCCCCGAGAUGAGUUCUCCCUGACUCCCUGAGAGUCCUGAAGGAACGUUGAAGACGACGACGUUGAUAGGCCGGGUGUGUAAGCGCAGCGAUGCGUUGAGCUAACCGGUACUAAUGAACCGUGAGGCUUAACCUUACAACGCCGAAGCUGUU